UGUAUACUGAAAAUGAAAAGUUAGCCUUGUUAAUCUUGUCUAAACCUUAAAUUUUUAAGAUAACUUCUAUUUAUCAUUACUUUUUACUAAUACUAAUUAAUACAAAAAUUUGUUUGGAGUUAGUCUCUACGGGAGAGUCAUUAUUGAAAAUAAAUUUGCAAUCAGUUGACAAAGUGACUUAAAUCUACAAUAUCUUUUUAGGUAUCAUAUGGUCAAGAACAGAGAAUAAAAAAGAGGAGAUUUUCCUCCGACUUCACUCAUUGAUUCUUCUCCUAUAUGAAGUCAUCUAAAAAGAAAAAAACAUGUCUUCUGAAGAAUGCGAUUUUGACUACAGAAAAAAAAAGUUCAAAGAAACGAGGUCCUAAACCCAAAACUACAGAGGCCUGUGAAUCUAAAAAGAUGAAGUAUGAUCUCAACCUAACACAGAACAAAAGUAAGGCGAUAAAAAUCCCUGAUUUUAAAGUUAAAAUUAAUGAAACAGAAACAAUAGACAAAAGUUUCAGACAAAAGGUGACAGCAUUAACUUAAUAGUUGUUCUGCAUGUGGGAUAUUUGUUUUGAUAUAUUUGAGUACUUGAUUAUUUAUAUGGUAUUUUACUUUAAAAAUAAUUAUCUGCUAUAAUUAUCUUAUAAUAAUGGUGUUUUUUCAUUUACUGCUUUAUGAUGAUUGGAAUCUUCAAACAUAAUAGAGGAAAUGUAGUUAAAAUCUGGGGGGGGGAAAUAAUUUCAUAAUUUAGUCUUAUUAUUUUUAUUUUAAGAUGAUGGGUUAUACAUAUACAGCAACAGCACAAAAUUCUGAUAGUAUUAUGGCUGACUGUGAAAUUCCAAAAAGGCCAUUAAAAUUCCAUCUGAUGCUGGACCAAUGACCUCACUAUUAAGAGAAAAUAAUAAUAGUAAACAAAUUAUCAAUAAUAAUCAAUUACAUCUGCUUAUUAACAUUUAAUUUUGUUAGUUUGAAAACCUACUUCAUUGAUACUGAUCAUUUCACAAAUAUCUAAAGAUAAUAAUUGAAUUUACUUAAAUGAAAAAAGAAUAUUUUUUAUACACUUAAGUAAAACUUUAUUAAAAUCCUAAA